rnacentral:rRNA from 1 species
UACGUAGGGGGCAAGCGUUGUCCGGAUUUAUUGGGCGUAAAGAGCGUGUAGGCGGCCUGACAGGUCUGCUGUGAAAACUCGAGGCUCAACCUCGAGAUGUCGGCGGAAACCGUCUGGCUAGAGUACGGUAGAGGGGGAUGGAAUUCCGCGUGUAGCAGUGAAAUGCGUAGAUAUGCGGAGGAACACCGAUGGCGAAGGCAAUCCCCCUGGACCUGUACUGACGCUCAUGCACGAAAGCGUGGGGAGCAAACAGG